UUGAAAGGGAGCCAUAGUGUCAGAAUGGGA
rnacentral:piRNA from 1 species